CCUGAUCUAGCCAUGCCGCGUGAGUGAUGAAGGCCUUAGGGUCGUAAAGCUCUUUCGCCUGUGAUGAUAAUGACAGUAGCAGGUAAAGAAACCCCGGCUAACUCCGUGCCAGCAGCCGCGGUAAUACGGAGGGGGUUAGCGUUGUUCGGAAUUACUGGGCGUAAAGCGCACGUAGGCGGAUUGGAAAGUUGGGGGUGAAAUCCCGGGGCUCAACCCCGGAACUGCCUCCAAAACUAUCAGUCUAGAGUUCGAGAGAGGUGAGUGGAAUUCCAAGUGUAGAGGUGAAAUUCGUAGAUAUUUGGAGGAACACCAGUGGCGAAGGCGGCUCACUGGCUCGAUACUGACGCUGAGGUGCGAAAGUGUGGGGAGCAAACAGGAUUAGAUACCCUGGUAGUCCACACCGUAAACGAUGAAUGCCAGUCGUCGGGCAGUAUACUGUUCGGUGACACACCUAACGGAUUAAGCAUUCCGCCUGGGGAGUACGGUCGCAAGAUUAAAACUCAA
rnacentral:rRNA from 1 species